UACGUAGGGGGCAAGCGUUGUCCGGAAUUAUUGGGCGUAAAGAGCGUGUAGGCGGUCCGGUAAGUCGGCUGUGAAAGUCCAGGGCUCAACCCUGGGAUGCCGGUCGAUACUGCCGGACUAGAGUUCGGAAGAGGCGAGUGGAAUUCCCGGUGUAGCGGUGAAAUGCGCAGAUAUCGGGAGGAAUACCGAUGGCGAAGGCAGGUCUCUGGGCUAUAACUGACGCUCAUGCACGAAAGCGUGGGGAGCAAACAGG
rnacentral:rRNA from 1 species